CAACUACCUAUAAGACUGGGAUAACUUCGGGAAACCGGAGCUAAUACCGGAUAAUAUUUUGAACCGCAUGGUUCAAAAGUGAAAGACGGUCUUGCUGUCACUUAUAGAUGGAUCCGCGCUGCAUUAGCUAGUUGGUAAGGUAACGGCUUACCAAGGCAACGAUGCAUAGCCGACCUGAGAGGGUGAUCGGCCACACUGGAACUGAGACACGGUCCAG
rnacentral:rRNA from 1 species